AUGGCCGCCAUGGCCAGAGCUAAGCCGAUCGGAAGCCUACUGCUCCUCUUUUCUAAACGAAGUUCUGCUUCACUGACUAAGACUUCAAAUAGACUUGGCAUCUUGCUACAAGGCAGCAUAGAAAGAUUAUCUCCAGAUGGAUUAUUCUGAUCAAGUACCUCUGCCUUUUCCCUGGGGGAUAUGUAUAUAAAAUUAGAUGCAAGCGAGGAAGAAUCGAACACUCACUGGGGCUGGCACUGCGGUGUAGUAGGUAAAGCCAUCAUCUGAAGCACCAGCAUCCCAUCUGGGCACUUGUUUGAGUCCCGGCUGUUCCGCUUCUGAUCCAGCUCCCUGCUAAUGCACCUGGGAAAGCAGUGGAGGAUGGCCCAAGUGCUUGGGAGACCCGAAUGAAGCUUCUGGCUCCUGGCUUCAGUCUGGCCCAGUCCUAACUAUUGUAGCCAUUUGGCAGCAGAUGGAGGAUCUCUCUCUCUCUCCCUCUCUCUCUCUCUCACUGCCUUGCCCUCUCUGUAACUCCGAAUUUCAAAUAAAUAAUUUUUUUUUUUAAAAGAGCA
rnacentral:lncRNA from 1 species